UACGGAGGGUGCAAGCGUUAAUCGGAAUUACUGGGCGUAAAGCGUGCGUAGGCGGUUCGUUAAGUCUGUUGUGAAAGCCCCGGGCUCAACCUGGGAAUGGCAAUGGAUACUGGCGAGCUAGAGUGUGUCAGAGGAUGGUGGAAUUCCCGGUGUAGCGGUGAAAUGCGUAGAGAUCGGGAGGAACAUCAGUGGCGAAGGCGGCCAUCUGGGACAACACUGACGCUGAGGCACGAAAGCGUGGGGAGCAAACAGGG
rnacentral:rRNA from 1 species